rnacentral:rRNA from 1 species
GACGAACGCUGGCGGCGUGCUUAACACAUGCAAGUCGAACGGAAAGGCCCUGCUUUUGUGGGGUGCUCGAGUGGCGAACGGGUGAGUAACACGUGAGUAACCUGCCCUUGACUUUGGGAUAACUUCAGGAAACUGGGGCUAAUACCGGAUAGGAGCUCCUGCUGCAUGGUGGGGGUUGGAAAGUUUCGGCGGUUGGGGAUGGACUCGCGGCUUAUCAGCUUGUUGGUGGGGUAGUGGCUUACCAAGGCUUUGACGGGUAGCCGGCCUGAGAGGGUGACCGGCCACAUUGGGACUGAGAUACGGCCCAGACUCCUACGGGAGGCAGCAGUGGGGAAUAUUGCACAAUGGGCGGAAGCCUGAUGCAGCAACGCCGCGUGCGGGAUGACGGCCUUCGGGUUGUAAACCGCUUUCGCCUGUGACGAAGCGUGAGUGACGGUAAUGGGUAAAGAAGCACCGGCUAACUACGUGCCAGCAGCCGCGGUGAUACGUAGGGUGCGAGCGUUGUCCGGAUUUAUUGGGCGUAAAGGGCUCGUAGGUGGUUGAUCGCGUCGGAAGUGUAAUCUUGGGGCUUAACCCUGAGCGUGCUUUCGAUACGGGUUGACUUGAGGAAGGUAGGGGAGAAUGGAAUUUCUGGUGGAGCGGUGGAAUGCGCAGAUAUCAGGAGGAACACCAGUGGCGAAGGCGGUUCUCUGGGCCUUUCCUGACGCUGAGGAGCGAAAGCGUGGGGAGCGAACAGGCUUAGAUACCCUGGUAGUCCACGCUGUAAACGGUGGGUACUAGGUGUGGGGUCCAUUCCACGGGUUCCGUGCCGUAGCUAACGCUUUAAGUACCCCGCCUGGGGAGUACGGCCGCAAGGCUAAAACUCAAAGGAAUUGACGGGGCCCCGCACAAGCGGCGGAGCAUGCGGAUUAAUUCGAUGCAACGCGUAGAACCUUACCUGGGUUUGACAUGGAUCGGGAGCGCUCAGAGAUGGGUGUGCCUCUUUUGGGGUCGGUUCACAGGUGGUGCAUGGCUGUCGUCAGCUCGUGUCGUGAGAUGUUGGGUUAAGUCCCGCAACGAGCGCAACCCUUGUUCACUGUUGCCAGCACGUUAUGGUGGGGACUCAGUGGAGACCGCCGGGGUCAACUCGGAGGAAGGUGGGGAUGACGUCAAGUCAUCAUGCCCCUUAUGUCCAGGGCUUCACGCAUGCUACAAUGGCUGGUACAGAGAGUGGCGAGCCUGUGAGGGUGAGCGAAUCUCGGAAAGCCGGUCUCAGUUCGGAUUGGGGUCUGCAACUCGACCUCAUGAAGUCGGAGUCGCUAGUAAUCGCAGAUCAGCAACGCUGCGGUGAAUACGUUCCCGGGGCU